rnacentral:rRNA from 1 species
UACGGAGGGUGCAAGCGUUAUCCGGAUUCACUGGGCUUAAAGGGUGCGUAGGUGGGCAGGUAAGUCAGUGGUGAAAUCUCCGAGCUUAACUCGGAAACUGCCAUUGAUACUAUCUGUCUUGAAUACCGUGGAGGUCAGCGGAAUAUGUCAUGUAGCGGUGAAAUGCUUAGAUAUGACAUAGAACACCAAUUGCGAAGGCAGCUGGCUACACGAAUAUUGACACUGAUGCACGAAAGCGUGGGGAUCAAACAGG